rnacentral:lncRNA from 1 species
UACCCAAGAUACUUUCAUGGAGCCAGAAUUCCUCAGUGUUUAAUUGUAGGCACACUCCAGGGAUCCCACUUCACAAUAUACAGCUUGGUGACCUAUGAAAGAGUCUGAGAGCUUUGGAGUUGGAGAUCCAGCACGACUUCUUAUUUGGGACAGGACAGAGCUGCUAAGAAUCUGAUUGGAGAGUCACAGAGCUCAAGAGCAGAAGAAACUGAAGCCUCUGAAGUUUGGUUCUCUUGGUGGGAGUGCUGUGGAAGCAGGCAAGCUGGCAUGUAACCAGGCAAUUAUGAAAGUGAUGUGAAUGAAAGACUCUAAAACAACAAUUUUUAAUGGAAAAUUUCUGAUCAGAUCAGGUGUCAUUUAUGUAGUCUUGGUAUGACUGAAUAGCACAUUCAAAGACAGUCUCCCUUUAGUGAGACUUUACUCCUGUAGUGACGUAUAAAAUUAUUAGACACUAGAAAUUCAGUUGCUCCUAUUCGGUCAGAGAAGACCCAAAGAGGAGAAAGAGUGCAGAAAUGCACAUCUGGUCCAGCUCAUCUUGCUGUCCAAGGUGCUACAGUUAUGUGCUAAUGAAGAAAACCAUGUUCUGCUGGCCUCCAAGCAUGUAGUGUGAUAAUUCUGAAAGCUAAAAUGGAAUAACAGGACAAAACAGAAGCCUCCCUCUCCCAAGCAAAUGUCUUCAAGUGCAGACAAAUAUUUUGGAUGAUGCUCAUGUAACAUAUGACAAGUUAAACAAGUAGACCUUAAGCUUUGCUCCAGUUAUCAAAGAAGCAUACAGACGUUGACAGCAGUGGGAAGCUGGUAUCAACACUCCUUACCAUUGAUAAAGAACUUGAGGCACAGAGGAGGAAUAUCUUGCCCAAAACCACAGGACGGGGAGAUGUGCAGACAUAAAAGACCCCAGCAGUCCUGAAUCAAGGAGAAAUAAAGUGUAGGAGGACAUCA